GCAUAACGUCGCAAGACCAAAGAGGGGGACCUUCGGGCCUCUUGCCAUCGGAUGUGCCCAGAUGGGAUUAGCUAGUAGGUGGGGUAACGGCUCACCUAGGCGACGAUCCCUAGCUGGUCUGAGAGGAUGACCAGCCACACUGGAACUGAGACACGGUCCAGACUCCUACGGGAGGCAGCAUG
rnacentral:rRNA from 1 species